GCCCUACUUCAGAGCUGCUCAGAGGGACAGUCCGCCUCCAUGUCCUCACUUCUUAAUCUUAAGCCACCUAGACUUGCCAUGAGGGCAUAGAAGAGGAGAUGAUGCAUAACCCUGUCUCAGACAAAGGUGUUAUUUAGCAGGUCUUGCCAAGGUGGCAGGGGCGUGAGGCCAAGGCCUCCCGGGAGGGAAUAUACUCUCCAGUAUCAUCUUUACCUUUGUGACUGCAUAGAUGAAGGCAGCUAACACUGACCCCACUCUCGCUGGCUAGAUAUAGGCAGGUCAGGUCCCAAACCCCAAUGUAAUAUAGGCUCCCUCUUUCACACUCUGUCAAUGGCACAAAGCCCUAUUGUUAAUACAGUUCUCUACUCACACUCAAUAUAAGAGUAAACAACACUGUCCUUCGACUACACAACUUUCUUCCUCUACACACAUCUGCUCUUUCUGACAGCUUUCCUCCAGGCAUCUCAUCACAGCAAUACUGAAAGGGACUGUGGCAAGCCAGUUUUGGGACCCGUCCUCCAGGAUUCCAGAAAGCCCUUUCCUAAGAAGUCAGCUCCCGGGUAAAUUUCAGAAUUGGUACUCUGAAUGAAGAGGUGAUUUUGGCACUGGAAUAGAAUAUGGCUGCAGGGAAAGAGGCAAACUCCCUCUCUGAUUGAGAAACUGCAACCCCCUCAAACUGUUUUCUUUAAGGAUUCUGGGAAGAUGAGGUGGCCUACAGGACCAAGAGACCAAAGCUGUAUCGACUAGCUGAUCACAGAAGAGAAGGUCAGAGAGAUGCAUUCAGGCCGGCCUGGAAAAAAGCAAACAUUCAUAUUGGGAACUACCACUGGUGGCGACAUGUUACUGAACUGCAAGCAGUAUCCGGAAGCUAAGAGUCAUCCCUGGUCAACAACUAACAAGACAACAGGGACCUUAAUCCUACAGUUACAAGGACUGCCAACAAGUGACCUUGGAUAAAGACCCUAAGCCCCAGAUGAGAACUGAAACCAUGGCAACACCUUGAUUUCAGUGAGAUCCUAUACAGAGAAUCUAGCCACACUGUGGCCUGGACUUCUGACCUACAAUAACUAUGAGAUAAUAAAUGUGUUCUUUUUAGCC